rnacentral:rRNA from 1 species
UGUAGCAAGGUUAACCGAAUAGGGGAGCCGAAGGGAAACCGAGUCUUAACUGGGCGUUAAGUUGCAGGGUAUAGACCCGAAACCCGGUGAUCUAGCCAUGGGCAGGUUGAAGGUUGGGUAACACUAACUGGAGGACCGAACCGACUAAUGUUGAAAAAUUAGCGGAUGACUUGUGGCUGGGGGGGAAAGGCCAAUCAAACCGGGAGAUAGCUGGUUCUCCCCGAAAGCUAUUUAGGUAGCGCCUCGUGAAUUCAUCUCCGGGGGUAGAGCACUGUUUCGGCAAGGGGGUCAUCCCGACUUACCAACCCGAUGCAAACUGCGAAUACCGGAGAAUGUUAUCGCGGGAGACACACGGCGGGUGCUAACGUCCGUCGUGAAGAGGGAAACAACCCAGACCGCCAGCUAAGGUCCCAAAGUCAUGGUUAAGUGGGAAACGAUGUGGGAAGGCCCAGACAGCCAGGAUGUUGGCUUAGAAGCAGCCAUCAUUUAAAGAAAGCGUAAUAGCUCACUGGUCGAGUCGGCCUGCGCGGAAGAUGUAACGGGGCUAAACCAUGCACCGAAGCUGCGGCAGCGACGCUUAUGCGUUGUUGGGUAGGGGAGCGUUCUGUAAGCCUGUGAAGGUGUGCUGUGAGGCAUGCUGGAGGUAUCAGAAGUGCGAAUGCUGACAUAAGUAACGAUAAAGCGGGUGAAAAGCCCGCUCGCCGGAAGACCAAGGGUUCCUGUCCAACGUUAAUCGGGGCAGGGUGAGUCGACCCCUAAGGCGAGGCCGAAAGGCGUAGUCGAUGGGAAACAGGUUAAUAUUCCUGUACUUGGUGUUACUGCGAAGGGGGGACGGAGAAGGCUAUGUUGGCCGGGCGACGGUUGUCCCGGUUUAAGCGUGUAGGCUGGUUUUCCAGGCAAAUCCGGAAAAUCAAGGCUGAGGCGUGAUGACGAGGCACUACGGUGCUGAAGCAACAAAUGCCCUGCUUCCAGGAAAAGCCUCUAAGCAUCAGGUAACAUCAAAUCGUACCCCAAACCGACACAGGUGGUCAGGUAGAGAAUACCAAGGCGCUUGAGAGAACUCGGGUGAAGGAACUAGGCAAAAUGGUGCCGUAACUUCGGGAGAAGGCACGCUGAUAUGUAGGUGAAGUCCCUCGCGGAUGGAGCUGAAAUCAGUCGAAGAUACCAGCUGGCUGCAACUGUUUAUUAAAAACACAGCACUGUGCAAACACGAAAGUGGACGUAUACGGUGUGACGCCUGCCCGGUGCCGGAAGGUUAAUUGAUGGGGUUAGCGCAAGCGAAGCUCUUGAUCGAAGCCCCGGUAAACGGCGGCCGUAACUAUAACGGUCCUAAGGUAGCGAAAUUCCUUGUCGGGUAAGUUCCGACCUGCACGAAUGGCGUAAUGAUGGCCAGGCUGUCUCCACCCGAGACUCAGUGAAAUUGAACUCGCUGUGAAGAUGCAGUGUACCCGCGGCAAGACGGAAAGACCCCGUGAACCUUUACUAUAGCUUGACACUGAACAUUGAGCCUUGAUGUGUAGGAUAGGUGGGAGGCUUGGAAGUGUGGACGCCAGUCUGCAUGGAGCCGACCUUGAAAUACCACCCUUUAAUGUUUGAUGUUCUAACGUUGACCCGUAAUCCGGGUUGCGGACAGUGUCUGGUGGGUAGUUUGACUGGGGCGGUCUCCUCCUAAAGAGUAACGGAGGAGCACGAAGGUUGGCUAAUCCUGGUCGGACAUCAGGAGGUUAGUGCAAUGGCAUAAGCCAGCUUGACUGCGAGCGUGACGGCGCGAGCAGGUGCGAAAGCAGGUCAUAGUGAUCCGGUGGUUCUGAAUGGAAGGGCCAUCGCUCAACGGAUAAAAGGUACUCCGGGGAUAACAGGCUGAUACCGCCCAAGAGUUCAUAUCGACGGCGGUGUUUGGCACCUCGAUGUCGGCUCAUCACAUCCUGGGGCUGAAGUAGGUCCCAAGGGUAUGGCUGUUCGCCAUUUAAAGUGGUACGCGAGCUGGGUUUAGAACGUCGUGAGACAGUUCGGUCCCUAUCUGCCGUGGGCGCUGGAGAACUGAGGGGGGCUGCUCCUAGUACGAGAGGACCGGAGUGGACGCAUCACUGGUGUUCGGGUUGUCAUGCCAAUGGCACUGCCCGGUAGCUAAAUGCGGAAGAGAUAAGUGCUGAAAGCAUCUAAGCACGAAACUUGCCCCGAGAUGAGUUCUCCCUGAC